rnacentral:rRNA from 1 species
UACGUAGGUGGCAAGCGUUGUCCGGAUUUAUUGGGUUUAAAGGGUGCGUAGGCGGUCUUAUAAGUCAGUGCUGAAAUAUCCCGGCUUAACCGGGAGGGUGGCAUUGAUACUGUAGGACUUGAGUGAAGUCGAGGUAGGCGGAAUUGACGGUGUAGCGGUGAAAUGCUUAGAUAUCGUCAAGAACACCAAUAGUGAAGACAGUUUACUAGACUUCAACUGACGCUGAGGCACGAAGGUGUGGGGAUCAAACAGG